rnacentral:rRNA from 1 species
UACAGAGGCCUCAAGCGUUGUUCGGAAUCACUGGGCGUAAAGGGUGCGUAGGUGGCUUUGUAGGUCAAUUUGUAAAAUCCGUGCGCUCAACGCACGUGUGCAUUUGAUACUGCGAGGCUUGAGAUAUUUAGGGGAGAUGGGAAUUCACGGUGUAGCAGUGAAAUGCGUAGAUAUCGUGAGGAACACCAAUGGCGAAGGCACAUCUCUGGAAAUUUUCUGACACUGAGGCACGAAGGCUAGGGUAGCAAAUGGG